rnacentral:sRNA from 1 species
GGUUCGACUCGAGCGAAGCGAGAGAACGUUGCCGCAGGCAACGGCCCGAAGGGCGAGGCGCUUUAGCGCCGAGUAAUCCUUCCCCCACCACUU